UGCAUGUAUAUAUAUAUUAAUGCAUGUGUGUGUAUAUAUGCACAUAUAUAUAUGUAUAUAUGUGUGUGUGUAUAUAUAUAAAUGGCUGUUGCAAAGGUGCAAAAGACAGAGCAGGGUUAAAUCAGAAUAGUAAUUAAUAACCUUGCCAGUUCCAAGGCAAACUUCUGUGCCAGCAGUGCAUGUAACAGAUAAAUGCUGGAAAGGGUAUUAUACAGUUCCAUGCCUGUGAAAGGCAUCCCCGAGGAAGAGGCUGGGGCAUUACUACACAUUCACUAGAAACCAGAGACUCGGGGCAGCAGAAUUUCCAGACAGUCAUGUGAGGAUGGAGUGCUGCAGCAUCAAGGCAGCCAGUCCACUUGUUUCUGUCUGUUCAUGAUGUUAAAUAAUUGCUGAGGCCUGCAUCACAUUCAGUUACUUCUUAGAGUGGCUUAAUGAUAGGAAACCAGCUUUGUGAGUGAUUCUCUGUGCAAGGGAGUGGAGAUGUUACACGUGUCUGUCUGAUGCUCUGCGAGGAGCACGCAACUGUGGCAGUUCUAACAAAGCAGAUGAAGAAAAUUAAAGGAUCCUUAGAGAGCUGAUCUAUAUUUUUUUUUUUUAUUCUUUGGCAUUUGCGAUGGAGGUGGCUGGCAUAGAGCACAAAAUGAAAUUUACUUUCCCCAAGACAUUCUUCUGGGCUAACAGUAAUUUCACAAAUAAAAUAUUGUAUAAGGAAAGUGCCACAGUGGCCAUGUUUGCAGGCUCAGUGAGAAAGGGCUAAUAUAGAGCAUGCCAGCCAAAAUAGGAUGGGAGAAUCCUGCCUUACUAUCUGAAGUAUUCCUUAAAGAUAACUAGUAAUGGGGUAUCUAGGUGUGUUUAUCUGGGUGUGUGACUCUUUAAUUAGUGUGUAAAAGGUGAAAUGCAAUGGUAAAAGCAGUGGUUUUUCCUUCUUAUUCUACUUUUUAAAAUCUUACUUGUUGUUUUUCCUCCCCUCCUCUGCUUAUUUUUCACCCUUUAAUAACCAAAAUAUCAUGUCUCCAGUUCCUCUUCUUUGAUGAAGGUCAUUUGGAGACCUGAAUAAUGAUGUCAGAUAAAUGUGUAGCUUUUAUAAGGAACAGAAAUUUCACUGCCCGGAGAGGCAGCUGUUUCUAUAGGACAAAAAAAGAUGGAAGAUAUUUAAGGCAGUGAAAAUGAAAAAAGAAUUUAAUUUUACUAUUUUGAUUUAUGGGUAUCCAAAAUGUGACAUCAAGGUUGAGAUUGAUUUCAUGUAACAUUAUUGAUCCACAAGAAAAGCCCUAGUUAUCAAAGCCUUCCUCUAUAGACAAAGGAGAGAGGCAAGGCCAGAGGCUGAUGUCUGUCCUACCUCAUAAAGAAAUUAAUAUUAUUUCUUUGCAUUCAAAGCAAAGGAAUGGAGCUUAGAGACUGAGUUUCAAAGAAAUAUAUGUGUGUAACUUCAGUUAGAAAGGAUCUAUUACAUAUGUCUUGGUUGAGUCAGGGAAUGCAAGUUCUCUCCAAAGUGGAUGUAAGAAUGGUUUCCUCCUCCCCAAAAGGAGAGGUCUGUAAUCAAUCAAGGAUACAGUAAAUUGAAUACAAAUGAGGAAAUGCAGGAUAGGUAUUUCAGAGGAACAGGAAGAAAGGGAUGUAGUAGAGCAGACGUCAAACCUUCCAAAGCUUCAAGGAAGUAUACUCCACAGUAUGAUGUUAUCCACAUUUUUCAAGAUGUACAUUUUCCUUCCAGAAGGGCAGGUCACUUGGCUGGGUUAAUUCUUUAACUUGAUUUGGGGAGCACAGGACAUAGACUUUUAUAAGUCUCAGCUUCUCUGGUAUUUUUCUUGAAGUCCUAGAUCCUGGAGUCAUGUGAUUUAAUAAAAGCUUGGACUUCACAUAAAAAGAAAAAAAAAUGCUCAGUUUUUUUUCUUAGAUUGUGCAGUAAAACUUGAAGAUAGAAACUGUAAAGGUCCCAAAAAGGGAAAAUCAAAUACUAAACCAGAUAUAUAUGAUCCCUUAGCCAGCCUUAUGAUAUCUGAAUGCUCAGAUUUGAACACCAAGUAGGCGUUAAUGUGGUGUUAACAUCAUCCAUUGCCUGCCUUCCAAAACUGUGUUAGCUGUGUUAUAUAUGUAAGGAAAAAAGGAUGUAAUUCUCUGUAUGGCCUUCCUCUUUUCUUCCCCUUCCCCUGUGUAUUCAUAAAUCCACACUUUGCCCUAUAUGUGCAGCUCAAGAGACAUUUAGAGGUACAAUUAUGGUGCAAACAUCACUGGGUCAUUACCACAAAAACACAACAAACCACUUUAGCUAAAGUAUAUGUAUUGCAGGCCUGUGAUGUUAAAAUCAGAUUUCCUUAAAGUGCCUUUGGUUGCAGACAAUGAAAACAGCCUGUAUGGCAGAAGACCACUGAAAAAAACUUCUAAAGAAAGGAUCCAUUUUUACAGUAACAGCAUUUCAUCUGAUGUGCAGACCUUGGUUCAUAACUGAAAGUGAGACAGCCAAGGGAACUAGUAGGAUUAGGUUAUGGGAAUUCAACCAAAUGAUGUUUUGCAUUCAGAUAAUUGCAUGAAAUUGGGCUAUUAGUGUAAGUUUUGCAAAUUGCAAUAACAUAAAACAAAGAAAAAUAUUCCCAGUGUAUACAUUCAACUAAUGUGCUAAAAGGGAACCCCAACUGGUUUCAGACAGAGCACAGAGAACUUCCAUUAACUCUUCAGAGCUGUGUCCAAAUAUUGUUUUCAGCCUUACAGGUUCCUCAAAUGGACUUUAAAAGGGAAACUCUUUUUAUCAAACACUAAGUAAAUAAACAUAAUUUAACAGUGAACUUGUGGUUUUCACUGGCAAGGACACUACUAACAUGUCCUUUAUCUGACCUUAAUUUAACGUUGCAUAAAAUAUGACUGAAAAGAACUGGAGAAGGAAAGAGUUUCGUCUCAAAUUGCAGCUGCUCGCUCCAGUAGCUCUCCUGACCACACGUCAGCAGCAGCUGCGGCUCGUGCCUUUUUAACUUCUUCCAUGGGACAAGAUUACUCUGCCCUGUGGCUUUCCCCUAGCUCAGCAGAAAAGUUAUCAGGAGAGGUGUCCUAAAUCCUCCUUUGUCUUAACUUCUUGGUCUUUACUUUUUGCCCCGCGUUCACUCUUGGGACUCAGCCUCAGUAUUUAGAACGAGCAUUUACAGAGGUCAGUUUUAGAGGCGGCUUUUGGCAAUGCAGCUCCACUCCAGUAAAGUCAUCACAGCAGACAAAUACUGGCCCACCAGGGACUCAGGUUAAUUAUUCUAGUGCUUUGACCUCAGUCUGGGUAAUGCCUGCUGCUGUGGCACCUGAGAAGGAAGACUGCACUUAGUGAUGCUUUUAUCUUUAUUGAAGGCUUGGCUGCUCAGGAGCCUGUGCCAGCCACAUGACUUGCUGGGCUGCUGAGGUGAAUGCCCAUGUCACUAAUGCCUCUGUGGGGUUUAGAGGCAAUUUCACAUUUGCCUGUGUCUUUCCUCCCAUUUUUGAAGGAAGGGAAAUAAUUUUAAUGAUUUCUGUGAUGAACAUAAAAUCUGACAAUAUCAAAUAACCAAUUCAUGUAUCUGUGUCAGUAAUUCAAUCUUGUUCCCAGUGUUUUCCAGCUUAAAAUCCGUAUCAGAGUACAGAAGAAAACACCACAUCAGCAACCUGUAAUGAAUGUUGAAGACAGUGAAAGACAGUUGAGCUGUGAAUAGAGGUACCUUAGUAACACCAGAGCCUUCAGCUCAUUUCUCUGUCACUGAAUUUAGCAGCAGAGUAAGCCUUUCAUGGCAUCUAAUGUUGUUCCCUGAACCCUGCUCUGUGCCCAGUCUACUUAAGCCUUAAAAUUCCAAGGGUUUUGUCGCUGUUCUUGGAGGGUGAUUUCCAUGCUGGUGUAUCCACUGCCAGAAAUUUUAUCCGGAGGUUCUGACUCAGGUUUGCCUUUUUUUGGAUUAAAUUAUUUCUCUUUCAAACAUUGUCCUUAACAAGCUCUUCUCUUUCUUGACGGUUAAGGCUUUUCAAGUGUUUUAUGCCUCUCUAUUAUGUUUGCCUGUCACAAGUCUGUACAAUGGUUUUUUAAAAUUUACUUAGGGCACAGCUGCGCUGUGACACACCAUGGUGCAAAUAUCCCUGAGGCAAAGCUGAAUGAGCCAGCUCCAAAACUGGGAUUUGUACUCUGGCUGUUUAAUAGAGAGAGACAAGGACCAUCUUUUCUGGCUCACUUUGCUCUGUGUCUGUUGAAUUUGAUACAAAGGGGUCUUGGUUUGCAGGCAGGGUUUGUAAGCUCUGCUUUUGGAAAAGAAAAAAAGUAAUGAAAGUAACAAGGAGUUGCACACCCCUCUGACUGCAAUGUUCAAUGCUAGACAAGGGUGUUCAGUGGGGGACAAUGCUGGUUGAAGCAAAUAAUGUGAAACAUGGUUUAGGAAUCACAGAAUUUGGGCCUCAAGUAUAGUAACAUAACGUAAGUUUUUUGCUUUCCAAAGGUUUGGAUGGUGACAUUUCACUGAAAGAUGGGGAAGCAACAUGGGGAGAAAAGGUCUUUAGGGUGACAUAAAGGCAAGAAGACUGCAGGAAGAUGAAUGUGAAUGAAGAAAAAAGAGUAAAGAACAGAAGUAUAUGAAGGAAAAGAGAUCAACGGUUCAGAGACCCACACACCUCUUUAGUGGAGGAACACCAAGCCCAGUUGUUCUGAUGUCGCCUCAGAAGAACUGAAGAGACAGGAAUUUGAGGAAAAAGGUUUUGGCAGGUUGUGAAAGUGAGGGAGCCAGAGGAGGCAAUCAGAGUAACCAUUCUUAGGAGGAGUAGUAUGAAGCUGUAUAUCAGAGACAUUUGUUGCAGACCCAAAGCCAAAGGUCCAGGAACUUAAUUAAAUAGAUAGCCCAAGAUAUUUGCAAGGAGAUAAUGAGCCUUUCAGCAAAACUAGUCAUCUGAGAGCACUGGGAAUAGCCCAGCAAAUUGUCUGAAGGUCUUCACAAAGCCAGGCUAGAAUGCUGCCCUCAAACAUUUUUCUCAAGGGGUAGGUCAGUCAACUGGAAACAUUGACAAAAAUGUAUUUCUUCACAAAUUUCAGCAGCAGCAAAAGAGCAGGAGAAAAAAAACCUGUUGUUUUUUAACACAAAUAUUGUUCACAGAAGAAAAAUAUAUUAGCAGUAUUUCUGGUCAGUGAGUCCCAAACUAGUAAUAACUGAAAGUUAAAUUACUGUGCAGUUGUCUGGAUCCAUUGGAAAUAAUGUUGAUGGUUUCUGAUUCCCUCCAUUGUCUCUGAACCAGGGUUCUGAUGUGCAAUUUUGAGAAUCAUGUUUCUGGAUUUGGGUAUUACAUUUGCCACAAAACACAAGGUGAUUGGAAAGUGCAUCGAGGUUGGCAAGAGGGUCUAAUUUCAGACAUUUUCUCCGGGAAAAGCCUGGGCAACUAGAAGAAGUGAGCACUUCCACAGAGGGCCUUUUGAGGACGCUCUUGUUUCUGUCAUUGCAAUGUGGAUGCAGGUUUUCACUGCUGAGGUUUCAGCUUCCAAAUGCCCCUCUGUGUGUGUGUGUGUGUACUCACUUGAGAGGUUCCUAUCUACAAUGUUGUGCAGGUUUCCCCCCCCUUGCAUCCUUCACAAAGCAAACUCUCAGUUUCCAGGUGAAGCCUGUCAUCAUAAAUCUAAUCAUACUUUACACAGCCUUUGAUUUUUUUGCAUCCUCAGCCUUGACCCAGUAAUAAAUCAGAGUAGCCGUCGCUGUAGUGGAAAGCACAGUAAUGUCAAAAGCUUCCUGGUGUAUGUGCAAUGGGAAGUCAUUCAGCAGUGAAAAACAACAGAGAGAAAGUGGUAAGGAUGCACUGACACAGCCGGAAGAAGUCCUGAGGAAUGCACAAACAGAAGUACAGGCUUGAAGCUGUAACCAAAAGAACAUGUCUUUUGUUACAAUUCCUGCUGUACAGAGGAAAACAGGACCUUCUUGUAAAUGAGAAGUACACUGAAGAAAUAGCUGAAGGCUACAUAAAUGGAAGAUGGAGAAAAACCCUGUAGUUGGUCUUAAAUUGGUGGGAAUCAGCUACCACAAAGAUAAUUCAUAUGGAUAACUCCUAUCCUGGUUCAAGACAAAUGGACAAAGUAAAUGUCAGCCAGAUUGACACAAACAGUGUAGCUUUCCAGGAAAAAUGGGGACUAGAAAGAAUGCAGAAACUCAAAGAAUCUAAACAACAGUACAAAGAUACUAAAGUUAAUGUAAUUGCUAAGAGGAGUAGGAGCCACAGCUGCAAAAGCAUUGCCCUGAAUAUGGCUCCAGUGAAAGAGGAGGCUAAGCAGGACAGAGGAUCAUAUGAGAGUAGGGAAAUUCUUUCACACCUUCUGGGAGACAACAGACUAAAGCAGAGGGUGAACUGUAGCAUAACAGGUAGCUGCCUCACAGUUCCUCUUUCAAUGCCAGUUGUUAUUUAACAAUGGAACUUUUAUUUAGAGGUGUCUGGUGGAAUGUGUAAAAUUGCAGGGGAGUAGAGAAUAUGUGAUCGAAUGUGACAGUUCUUAAAUUUGCCCUGGAAGUGGGGAAGUAACAUAAAUACCAGUUUGGUCUCAAAAGACACAGAAACUAGGGAACAAGAACCCAAACACAAGACAGGAUUAUUUUCGUGAACUGAACUCUGGGAACUGGAGCAGGAAAUCGUGUUAGCUGAGACAGUGAAUGAGUUAGCAGUUACAGCAUAUUUCAUUACGGAUAACAUCUCAGAAAUGUGAGAGAAGUUGUCUCACACUUUAGUCUGGGAAGUUACCUUUGGAUCUUGGUGAAACAAAUUACAUGCAAUCUGAAGUGUACUACAGGCAGCCUUAUGUGCUCUGUUACUAAAAGCAUUGUUAGGAUGACGAAAUGUGGUAUCUUUCAAUGAAGAUGAUAGGGUCUGAAGUAUGUUGUGUAAUUAAGUAUUUCAAGGGUCCUAACUGCCAAAGCUCCCACUGAAUCUGAAGCAGGGAUGGAUUCCCGUUCACUUGCUGAACACUUCUGAGGGCUAGCUUAUUAAAAGAAAAAGAAAACCACAUUUUGCAAAGAGAAAGAGUAUGUGCCUUGCAAACAUACAUGCCAAACAUACAUGCACACUGAUGCUUACAAUGAAGGCAUACUGGAGUAACAUGGGGGGGGUUGAGAUUUUGGUGGCUAUUGUUUAGCCUGCACUGCAGAUCUGCAGAAGAGGUUGGGAAGGGCAAGAGAAACUGAGGGAGAUGGCAGCAAGGAAGAACCUGACAUGGCAUGUAUCCACAAAUGGUGGGUAGGUAAUCAUAAAAAAAGGCUAGAGUGCUCUUUUGAGCUGAACUGUUUUCAGGGACUGGCAACUAGCAAAGAAAAAAAGCUGUGUCCUAAUGGGUUCUGGUUUUAGUAAAUUAAAAGGAACAUCAAAGACAUUCUUCUCUCUAUCAGCAAUGUAAUGCAGCAGAAACAAUCCUCAGGCCUUGAUUUUUCUUCUUAUUUGCUCAGAUAAAAAAAAAAAGUGCGUGUUAUGCAAGUAUUUCUGCAUUCAGUUUUCUGCUAGAUGUUUCAAAAACCAUGGGGUGAGGUUUUUUUGUCCUACUGUAGUCUUCUUCUUGCAAUGUUUAACAUCUUUUCAUGGGAUUUUAUAGCUUAGGUUUUUAGUUUACCUUUAAGAUAUGGGUUCUAAACACCCAUAAAAUGUUCUGUAAAACAUUGCUCCACUGUACAAAAUGAAAGAAAAUUAUAUUGUACUGACUGAGACUUUUAGAAUGUGCUAGAAGGCCUGAAAUACUCAUCAGAGUGAUUGCCUUUGAUAAAAGAGAGGGAAUCCAUGGACUUUUUAACCCUGAAAAUGUCUAACCUAAAAUCAGUUGGGGUUUCUUUGAGAUUUCAUGCCCUCCCCUUACUCACUGUGUCUAUACUGAGCCACAGCUUCAGCUGAUGUGAUUUCAGCUUUGCUUGUUUCCACUGCCAAGGACUGGCCAUGCUUUAUUUUCCUUUGCUGUCUGAGUGAUACUAUGCUGUGAUGUCCAGCUAAAACUUAUUGCUUUAUUUCUCUAUGUCAGCAAAAUGAAUCAUUUGCUCUUUCCAUACAUCUCUGGGAGUAACUUGUUUCUGUUGCAACUGA